rnacentral:rRNA from 1 species
UUCCCUUCGGGGACAUUGGUGACAGGUGGUGCAUGGUUGUCGUCAGCUCGUGUCGUGAGAUGUUGGGUUAAGUCCCGCAACGAGCGCAACCCUUGUCUUUAGUUGCCAUCAUUAAGUUGGGCACUCUAGAGAGACUGCCAGGGAUAACCUGGAGGAAGGUGGGGAUGACGUCAAAUCAUCAUGCCCCUUAUGCUUAGGGCUACACACGUGCUACAAUG